rnacentral:ncRNA from 1 species
GUGUUGUAUGAAGGAGAGAAGGUUAGCACUAUCCUUGAUAAGGACGGAUUCACCUUCGGGUGACAACCACAAAUGGUUAAAGCACUGCCACUUUGUGGCAUCUAACCAAGUUUUUUU